GCGUUUGUAGUCCAAGGGUUAGGAACUUAGGAUAAUUGCCUUCCAAGCAACAGACCCGGGUUCGAGUCCCGGCAAAUGCA
rnacentral:tRNA from 1 species